GCAGACACAUUCCAGCCAAUCAGCAGCAGACCCUCCCUCCCAGACCCUCCCACCUCCUGGACAGCUCACUAAGAAUGCAGCUUCACAAUGAAUGUAAAAUGGAUGCUGUCCAGGAGGUGGAGGGUCUGGGAGGGAGGGUCUGCUGCUGAUUGGCUGGAAUGUGUCUG
rnacentral:miRNA from 1 species